GCAUCACAUUGCUCGGCUUGAUGUCGCGGUGAACCACGCAUUGCUGCCCCUCCUCGUGCAGAUAGAAGAGCGCCGAGGCCAAGCCCAUCGCGAUCCUGUGCCGCGCCGGCCACUGUAGAAACUUCGCCUUGCUGUAUAGAGUCGAGUUGAAGGACCAUGAUAGAAUGGUAUGCGUCUCAGUGAAGUUACCAGUGGCUGCGGAGAAGCCUACUGUUACAAGUUCUGGUUAAGAAGAGGCUCAAGUUGUGGGUGAUGGAAUCAUAAUUCACCCAUGCAUUACCGAUUCUGUGUUCCCUGAUGCUACUGUUCCAAGGAACGUAUGUUGAAGAGUUGAUUGAAUUUAUGUCGAUGCCAAGAUGUUCACCUUUGGGAUCCCAUUCAUAGUUGCUGAAGGUGUCAAACUCCACAGCCACCAUUUUACUGGUUUGAUUGAGGAUUGUGGUGUUGGAGUAAAGGCCAAGGUAGCCACCUUUAGCAUAUAAGGGCAACGUGGCAGGGUAUGGUGCGAGUAAGAAGGCAAAACCAUCGGCAUAGUUUGUCUCAUGGGAGUCGAUGAUGAAGGAGAAUUGUGUGGUGAAGUUAGUGAGUUCUUUUCUUUUGUUGUUCCAGAGAUGAAGGGGGUCUUUAUAGGUUGCCCUACUAGCGCUCGCCAAAUUGGCACCUUCCUUGGUGAGCAUUAUGGUGGAGCCAUUAAUGACUGCAUCACCUUCGAAUGUGAUCUUUGAAGUCCCAUUGAAGCUAGGGAAGUUGAAGGAGAGCGAGGUUGCCAAGGGUAUUAUUAUUGACAAGAAAACAGCAAGUCCUGUUUCCAUACUGCAACGAAGCUGGUCCAUUGAAGGGAAAAAGGAUAAAAGACUUGCUCAUAGGCAUGCUACUUAAAGCACAAACAUGUAUUUUUAGUAGGAAUCUUUGCCUUUUGAUUUGAACACACAGCACCAAAAAGGAUGACAGUGCAUGACAAUGUCUCACAUGUCUAUAUCUCAACAAGUGGAUAAGUGAUGUCUGUUCUCUGCCAGAAACUUAAUUAAGGCCAUACAUAGAAAAGGGUUGGCAGGGGAAAAAACAAAGAAGAAAAAAAAGCUGUUUGGUUAUAGACACGAAUUGGAAUUUAGCAGACAUCUGGAAUUGGUGGAAGUAGCCAUUCAUUACCGGGAUACAGACAGUUGGGCUGAACUCUAUUGUUAGCUCCCUCUAACCAAACCCUACCUCAGAUCUGCUUUGGCCACGUGUAAUCAAACUAAAAGCAUCAAAUCCAUGACUACAAUCCUUACUAAUAUUCAACUUUUGUUUAACGGUGUUUAUGGAAAUGCUGUUUAUUAAAUUUCUUGCCCUAAUUGUCAAGGACAUGAGCACAAGCCAAUUCUAUUUUUACUUUUCUAAAUAAUUCUUUU